rnacentral:rRNA from 1 species
CGGAGACCCGCACAAGCGGUGGAUGAUGUGGAUUAAUUCGAUGCAACGCGAAAACCUUACCUACCCUUGACAUGUCUGGAACCUUGCUGAGAGGCGAGGGUGCCUUCGGGAGCCAGAACACAGGUGCUGCAUGGCUGUCGUCAGCUCGUGUCGUGAGAUGUUGGGUUAAGUCCCGCAACGAGCGCAACCCUUGUCAUUAGUUGCCAUCAUUUAGUUGGGCACUCUAAUGAGACUGCCGGUGACAAACCGGAGGAAGGUGGGGAUGACGUCAAGUCCUCAUGGCCCUUAUGGGUAGGGCUUCACACGUCAUACAAUGGUCGGUACAGAGGGUUGCCAAGCCGCGAGGUGGAGCCAAUCCCUUAAAGCCGAUCGUAGUCCGGAUCGUUCUCUGCAACUCGAGAGCAUGAAGUCGGAAUCGCUAGUAAUCGCAGGUCAGCAUACUGCGGUGAAUACGUUCCCGGGUCUU